UGGGGAAUUUUGGACAAUGGGCGAAAGCCUGAUCCAGCAAUGCCGCGUGUGUGAAGAAGGCCUUCGGGUUGUAAAGCACUUUUGUCCGGAAAGAAAUCCUUGGCUCUAAUACAGUCGGGGGAUGACGGUACCGGAAGAAUAAGCACCGGCUAACUACGUGCCAGCAGCCGCGGUAAUACGUAGGGUGCAAGCGUUAAUCGGAAUUACUGGGCGUAAAGCGUGCGCAGGCGGUUUGCUAAGACCGAUGUGAAAUCCCCGGGCUCAACCUGGGAACUGCAUUGGUGACUGGCAGGCUAGAGUAUGGCAGAGGGGGGUAGAAUUCCACGUGUAGCAGUGAAAAUGCGUAGAGAUGUGGAGGAAAUACCGAUGGCGAAGGCAGCCCCCUGGGCCAAUACUGACGCUCAUGCACGAAAAGCGUGGGGGAGCAAAACAGGAUUAGAUACCCCUGGUAGUCCACGCCCUAAAACGAUGUCAACUAGUUGUUGGGGAUUCAUUUCCUUAGUAACGUAGCUAACGCGUGAAGUUGACCGCCUGGGGAGUACGGUCGCAAGAUUAAAACUUAAAUGAAUUGACGGGG
rnacentral:rRNA from 1 species